AGAGUUUGAUCCUGGCUCAGGAUGAACGCUAGCGGCAGGCUUAAUACAUGCAAGUCGAGGGGCAGCAUGACUGUAGCAAUACAUGCUGACGAGAGGCGGACGGGUGAGGAACGCUUGGGAAUCUGCCUAUCAGCGGGGGACAACCCGGGGAAACCCGGGCUAAUACCGCAUACGCUCUACGGAGGAAAGCCGGGGACCGCAAGGCCUGGCACUGAAGGAUGAGCCCAAGUCGGAUUAGCUAGUUGGUGGGGUAACGGCCUACCAAGGCGACGAUCAGUAGCCGACCUGAGAGGGUGAUCGGCCACACUGGAACUGAGACACGGUCCAGGCUCCUACGGGAGGCAGCAGUGGGGAAUAUUGCGCAAUGGGCGAAAGCCUGACGCAGCGACGCCGCGUGAGGGAUGAAGGCCUUCGGGUUGUAAACCUCUUUCAGCAGGGACGAAGCGAAAGUGACUGUACCUGCAGAAGAAGCACCGGCUAACUACGUGCCAGCAGCCGCGGUAA
rnacentral:rRNA from 1 species